rnacentral:rRNA from 1 species
GAUGAACGCUGGCGGCGUGCUUAACACAUGCAAGUCGAACGAAGCAUUUAAGACAGAUUACUUCGGUUUGAGGUCUUUUAUGACUGAGUGGCGGACGGGUGAGUAACGCGUGGGUAACCUGCCUCAUACAGGGGGAUAGCAGCUGGAAACGGCUGGUAAUACCGCAUAAGCGCACAGUACCACAUGGUACAGUGUGAAAAACUCCGGUGGUAUGAGAUGGACCCGCGUCUGAUUAGCUUGUUGGCGGGGUAACGGCCCACCAAGGCGACUAUCAGUAGCCGACCUGAGAGGGUGACCGGCCACAUUGGGACUGAGACACGGCCCAGACUCCUACGGGAGGCAGCAGUGGGGAAUAUUGCACAAUGGAGGAAACUCUGAUGCAGCGACGCCGCGUGAGUGAAGAAGUAGUUCGCUAUGUAAAGCUCUAUCAGCAGGGAAGAUAGUGACGGUACCUGACUAAGAAGCUCCGGCUAAAUACGUG